AUGCCCAACGGCAGCCUCAGGGACGUGCUACAUAGCAGCAAGGCCGGUCUGCUGGAUUGGACGACGCGGUACAAGAUUGCGCUGGACGCAGCCGAGGGGUUGUCCUACCUGCACCAGGACUUCGUGCCGGCUAUCGUCCACAGGGAUGUCAAGGCCAACAACAUCCUCUUUGGAUGCAGAGUCCAGCGCUUGCGUCGCGGAUUUCUGUGUGGCCAAGGUGGUGGAGAUGGCUGGCCGGGCACGCAAGUCCAUGUCGGUGAUUGUUGGCUCCUACGGUUACAUUGCUCCUGGUAA
rnacentral:rRNA from 1 species